CCUACGGGUGGCAGCAGUGAGGAAUAUUGGUCAAUGGGCGCUAGCCUGAACCAGCCAAGCAGCGUGAAGGAUGAAUGCUCUAUGGGUUGUAAACUCCUUUCAUAUGGGCAUAAAGAGCAGUAUGCACACUGCUUUGCAUGUACCCUAUGAAUAAGGAACGGCGAACUCCGAGCCAGCAGCCGCGGUAAUACGGAGGAUGCGAGCGUUAUCCGGAUUUAUUGGGGGUAAAGGGAGCGUAGGCGGGUUGUUAAGGCAGAUGUGAAAGUUUGUGGCUCAACCGUAGAAUUGCAGUUGAUACUGGCGUCCUUGAGUGCUGUAGAGGUAGGCGGAAUUCGUGGUGUAGCGGUGAAAUGCUUAGAUAUCACGAGGAACUCCAGUUGCGAAGGCAGCCUGCUGGACUGUAACUGACGCUGAGGCUCGAAAGUGUGGGUAUCAAACAGGAUUAGAUACCCUAGUAGUC
rnacentral:rRNA from 1 species